rnacentral:rRNA from 1 species
CCUACGGUGGCUGCAGUGGGGAAUAUUGCACAAUGGGGGGAACCCUGAUGCAGCGACGCCGCGUGAGUGAAGAAGUAUUUCGGUAUGUAAAGCUCUAUCAGCAGGGAAGAAAAUGACGGUACCUGACUAAGAAGCCCCGGCUAACUACGUGCCAGCAGCCGCGGUAAUACGUGGGGGGCAAGCGUUAUCCGGAUUUACUGGGUGUAAAGGGAGCGCAGACGGCUGUGCAAGUCUGGAGUGAAAGGCGGGGGCCCAACCCCCGGACUGCUCUGGAAACUGUAAAGCUGGAGUGCAGGAGAGGUAAGCGGAAUUCCUAGUGUAGCGGUGAAAUGCGUAGAUAUUAGGAGGAACACCAGUGGCGAAGGCGGCUUACUGGACUGCAACUGACGUUGAGGCUCGAAAGCGUGGGGAGCAAACAGGAUUAGAUACCCCUGUAGUC